rnacentral:tRNA from 1 species
GUUCUUGUAAUGUAACAGGUUUUGAUUGUGAGCCCAGGUUAAAGUCCUGGUGGGAAUA